GGCAACCCUUGUGACGUCUAAGGGAUACUAAGUCCCAUCCUGCUCCCACUCAAGUCAAUGGCGGGUUUUACUUUUGCCUUAGCAGAGUCUUGCAACAGAUGCUUUGUGGAGGUUCUUUCGAGCCACGUUGACAUAAAGCACUCCAGGGUUACAACAACACCGCAUCGGAGAUCUGUGAUGGACUGACAGGAAGUCUUCGCUAUGUGUGAGAGUAUCAGACAUGGCCUCCCUGUUGGAAAAGUUUUACCAUCCAGCAUAAGGAAGUGCCAGAAGCCAAGGUUUCACCCGCAACAUUAACUGGUCCAUCUCUGGCGUCCUGUUUAUUGUAUGGACCGGCCCAACAACACGAUGAUAUGUCAACGUUGACAUUUAACACGAGGAAAAAGAGUGGGGCCAACCUGGCCAAGCGACGUCCCUAUUUUUGAACGUUUGAUCUUACCACUUUAAUUUUGCAUUACUGCUUGACUUUGUGUGUAAUGUUUAAGGGAGGAGGAUGGGCUUGCUGGAAGUUUAAAGGAAAGAAGAAAAAGGGAAUCUGGUGGUAAUUCGCUAGGGCAGGGGAGCUUGAAAGGCCCUUUCUCUUCAGCUAGUUAGUUUGCCAACCUUGCAAACUGCAGGCUGGGCCAACCGCGCUUGUCAUUUUCUUUCUUCACAACAAUUUGCUGAUACAGUCAUCUACGCUUGUAAA